GUACGAGAGGACCGGAGUGGACGAACCUCUGGUGUUCCGGUUGUCACGCCAGUGGCAUUGCCGGGUAGCUAUGUUCGGAAAAGAUAACCGCUGAAAGCAUCUAAGCGGGAAACUUGCCUCAAGAUGAGAUCUCACUGGGAACUUGAUUCCCCUGAAGGGCCGUCGAAGACUACGACGUUGAUAGGCUGGGUGUGUAAGCGUUGUGAGGCGUUGAGCUAACCAGUACUAAUUGCCCGUGAGGCUUGACCAU
rnacentral:rRNA from 1 species